UUAAGUAUGUUUUUACUUUGUUAAUUAAAAAGAUUAAUUUUUUGAACUGAUAUACUGUAAUUGUUGUAAUAGACCGUUCAAUUGAUCCAAUUAUGGUUUGUUUUUAAAAUUAACUUAUUACGUGGUUGACCAAUAUGUAGACAUAAACUGAUCUGUCUAUACAAGACAUAUUUUAUCUUUAAUCAACAUGAAAUAUCCUAUAAUCCUAACUCACACAUACUCUCCCGGC
rnacentral:lncRNA from 1 species